rnacentral:rRNA from 1 species
CCUGGCUCAGGAUGAACGCUAGCUACAGGCUUAACACAUGCAAGUCGAGGGGCAGCAUGGUCUUAGCUUGCUAAGGCCGAUGGCGACCGGCGCACGGGUGAGUAACACGUAUCCAACCUGCCGUCUACUCUUGGACAGCCUUCUGAAAGGAAGAUUAAUACAAGAUGGCAUCAUGAGUCCGCAUGUUCACAUGAUUAAAGGUAUUCCGGUAGACGAUGGGGAUGCGUUCCAUUAGAUAGUAGGCGGGGUAACGGCCCACCUAGUCUUCGAUGGAUAGGGGUUCUGAGAGGAAGGUCCCCCACAUUGGAACUGAGACACGGUCCAAACUCCUACGGGAGGCAGCAGUGAGGAAUAUUGGUCAAUGGGCGAGAGCCUGAACCAGCCAAGUAGCGUGAAGGAUGACUGCCCUAUGGGUUGUAAACUUCUUUUAUAAAGGAAUAAAGUCGGGUAUGGAUACCCGUUUGCAUGUACUUUAUGAAAUAAGAUCGGCUAACUCCGUGCCAGCAGCCGCGGUAAUACGGAGGAUCCGAGCGUUAUCCGGAUUUAUUGGGUUUAAAGGGAGCGUAGAUGGAUGUUUAAGUCAGUUGUGAAAGUUUGCGGCUCAACCGUAAAAUUGCAGUUGAUACUGGAUAUCUUGAGUGCAGUUGAGGCAGGCGGAAUUCGUGGUGUAGCGGUGAAAUGCUUAGAUAUCACGAAGGAACUCCGAUUGCGAAGGCAGCCUGCUAAGGCUGCAACUGACAUUGAGGCUCGAAAGUGUGGGUAUCAAACAGGAUAGAUACCCUGGUAGUCCACACGGUAAACGAUGAAUACUCGCUGUUUGCGAUAUACUGCAAGCGGCCAAGCGAAAGCGUUAAGUAUUCCACCUGGGGAGUACGCCGGCAACGGUGAAACUCAAAGGAAUUGACGGGGGCCCGCACAAGCGGAGGAACAUGUGGUUUAAUUCGAUGAUACGCGAGGAACCUUACCCGGGCUUAAAUUGCAGAUGAAUUACGGUGAAAGCCGUAAGCCGCAAGGCAUCUGUGAAGGUGCUGCAUGGUUGUCGUCAGCUCGUGCCGUGAGGUGUCGGCUUAAGUGCCAUAACGAGCGCAACCCUUGUUGUCAGUUACUAACAGGUUCCGCUGAGGACUCUGACAAGACUGCCAUCGUAAGAUGUGAGGAAGGUGGGGAUGACGUCAAAUCAGCACGGCCCUUACGUCCGGGGCUACACACGUGUUACAAUGGGGGGUACAGAGGGCCGCUACCACGCGAGUGGAUGCCAAUCCCCAAAACCUCUCUCAGUUCGGACUGGAGUCUGCAACCCGACUCCACGAAGCUGGAUUCGCUAGUAAUCGCGCAUCAGCCACGGCGCGGUGAAUACGUUCCCGGGCCUUGUACACACCGCC